GAACUGAAGAGUUUGAUCAUGGCUCAGAUUGAACGCUGGCGGCAGGCCUAACACAUGCAAGUCGAGCGGUAGAGAGAAGCUUGCUUCUCUUGAGAGCGGCGGACGGGUGAGUAAUGCCUAGGAAUCUGCCUGGUAGUGGGGGAUAACGUUCGGAAACGGACGCUAAUACCGCAUACGUCCUACGGGAGAAAGCAGGGGACCUUCGGGCCUUGCGCUAUCAGAUGAGCCUAGGUCGGAUUAGCUAGUUGGUGAGGUAAUGGCUCACCAAGGCGACGAUCCGUAACUGGUCUGAGAGGAUGAUCAGU
rnacentral:ncRNA from 1 species